CAUUAGGAGAGGAAGUCUCGUCGGCGGACAGCUCCCCUUCUGUUGCCAUUAGCGUCGGGACCUCUCAGGACCACUCAGUGACCCAGCAGCCCCAGAUCGCCUCCUAGCUCCACAGCUGGGUCUUGAGCACAUGAUGGGGCCAUCCCUGGCCUUCCCAGCUGGGGCUCCAAGGAAUCCCUGACCAGUGCACGUCUCUUCCCUCACCAACCCUAGGCUCUCUUUUCAUUUCCUGAAAGGGAGAGAUAAGGAGUGAGGCCUUUGGAAAUCCACAGCCUUGGUAUUCAUCAUCCUCCUGACUUGGACAAGCCCUUCCCUUCCGAUCCUUUUAACCCCCUUGGCCUCUGAUACAAAUAGCCCCUCCAGCAAUGUUGCUGGAGUUUGCAAGCAAGGAGCCUUGAAGUCAGAGCAUCUGGCUUUGAGGACCUGCUCCAAUGACUCUGUCAUUGUAUGACCCUAGAAAAGAUCCUUGACUUCUCCAAACCUCAGAAUGAUCAACACUCUUACCCAACAGAGGGAUUGUGAGGACCAGAAAGUAUGAUAUUCAUGGAACAUUGUACGGGUUGAAUAGUUUCCUCCGAAACUCUACGUCUACCUUGAGUCUAUGACUGUCACCUUAUCUGGAGAUAGGGUCUUCACAGGUGUAAUUAAGUAAAGAUGAGGUCACACUGCUUUCAGGUGCCCCCUAAGCAGAUGAAUGGUGUCCUUAUAAGAUGAGGAACAUUGGGACAUAAACACACAGAGGGAAGAAGACCAUGUGAUGACCCAGACAGACUGGUGUGAUGCAGCUAUGAGUCAUUGUCACUUAGGAUCAAGCCAAAGGAUGCCACAAAUUGCCAGGAACCAUCAGAAGCUGGAAGAGGCAAAGGAGGAUUCUUCCCUAGAUAUUUCAGAGGGAGCCUGGCCCUGGCAACACUGUGAUUUCAGCGACGAGUUUGGAAACCAGAGUCAUGGGAACAACUGUCUGGUAACGGCAUGUACAAAAUGAAUUAGGAGUUACUGGGGGCCACGUUGCUCUCUGCAGCGUGAGGAGUAAUCAUUCAUUGGCCUGAGAAGGUAUUGUGUCUGGCGGAGAGCGAUGUUCCUGUGAAAUGACUGACCGAGGCUGGAAGGAAGAAGACGUGUGAAGUCAGUCAGUCAGUGGAAGAAGCCGGACUGCCCAUGACCGCCAUGCGGUGCGAAGCCAGCCCAGCCGGGUGUGGAGGCCACUCGGAGGAGGACAAGGCUUCCAGCCUGCACCCUCAGGGGAACUCCCAGGUGACCACCAGCACCGGCCUAUGAGCCCUGAGUGAGGCCAUCUCCAGUUGGAUCCUCCCAACCAGCCACACGACGGGCCUCGUGAACUGUCCUUACUGAGCCCUGCCCAGACUGCAGAACCUCGAGCGAAUCAAUGAUAGGGUGGUUGUUAACGCCACUGAGAUGUGGAUGGGUCGUGGUGCCCCAAGAAGUAACCAAACGGACAUCUGGUCUCAGCCCAAACCUUCUAGAAACAGGGGACUCUGUGCUUCAUAAAGUAAUCCAUUCCAUUUUUAAUAGCAGCAAUUGCUAGAAUAUUCUUUUCUAUAUUUAACAAAAUCUGCCUUUCUGUCUCUCACAACCUCACAGCCUGUCUCUGGGUAAAAUAAGUCUAUGGCAGCUCUUCUAGAAUCUUCAGACAAUCGUGAGCUUCAUUUCCUACCCCUCCCACCCUCACCUCCACCCGAGAGGCGCACACACGUCACCUUUUCUUGGAGGUAAACAAUUCCAGCUCCUUCAAGUCCUGAUUCUUUCCUUCAAAAGCUCAAACUCCUGUUGGUAAACCACCGGGAGGCACAGGGGAGCCAUGCACUGGAGGGGAAACCACUGCCCCCUGAAGGGAGGCCAGCGCCGAGCCAAACACAUUUCCUCUACCCCUCCGGCCAGUCGUGUCGGGGCACGUAUAUGUGCACAGACACAGAAAUUGUUUUUGCCCUGGCCCUGAAAUCUUUCUGAUAGCACAGGAAAUGCAAUGGCUGGAUAGCACCGUAAGCCGGAUAACCAGACGGGAAAGAGCUAUGGGACAGCACGCAUGUGGCGGAGGAAGGCUGGAGGGCUUAGUGGGGUCUCCCCCGGGCUACCGGUUUCACGUCCCUUCUUCACCUUUAAAGGAGCACCAGUAUUUCCGAGCAUGGUGGCCAGAAAUACUUUUCUGAGAAAAAUCACUGGUUAGAAAAAAGAUGUAUGAAUGAACCUCUGCGUCUCAGCCGCACGUGCAACCACAGAGGAGCGAGGCCGUUGGCCCUUCCAAGCAGAGAACGGUCUUCCAGUCACGCGUGUGGCUCCUCAAAAGCUUCGCGACCAGACUGUUCAGACGCAGACGAGAAUUUCCCGACGACGGCGCAGUCUGUUCCUAAGCUACUGCCGGAGCAGCCCGUGGCGCUGGGAAUUCAAGCACUGAUCCAACUUCAGGAUGGAUGCUGGCCACCGCGCCACGACAGACAGGUGCGGGGAGACGGCCAGGGGAUAGGACGGGGCUGUGUCCUCCAGCCUCCGAGACUGUGCCUGAUAACAGGACGCCACCUCAGCCGUUUGUACGUUAUUUUGGGAUGGCGUUUGGGGCCGAAGUGAAUGCAUAUCAUUGCUCCAGACAUUUUCUUCUCCCCAAACAUUGCGGAAUUGUGGUUGCGUGCAGAAGGGUCGACACGCGGAGGAACGCAUGCGUCACAAGGCUGGCUCGGUCUCUCUGACUCUCCUCCCCCGCCCCCCGGCCCUGGCUUUCUUAUAAUGAACUGAGUUACUAGAUCUCUCUGUGAAUGAAUCUCAUCAUUUAUGAAAUUGAAAUAAAUACUUUACGCAAUGGGUGGAUGCACCAGCAAGUUCCCUGUGAGACAUUCUAGGGGGGCCCGGGGGGCUCAGUUGGUUAAGCAUCUGACU